UACGGAGGAUGCGAGCGUUAUCCGGAUUUAUUGGGUUUAAAGGGUGCGUAGGUUGUUUUUUAAGUCAGCGGUGAAAGUUUGUGGCUCAACCAUAAAAUUGCCGUUGAAACUGGAAGACUUGAGUGUGUUUGAGGUAGGCGGAAUGCGUGGUGUAGCGGUGAAAUGCGUAGAUAUUAGGAGGAACACCAGUGGCGAAGGCGGCCUGCCGGGCUUUUACUGACGCUGAAGCACGAAAGCGUGGGUAUCGAACAGG
rnacentral:rRNA from 1 species